GGGUCAAAGAGCUACGUUUAACAUUUAAACAUAUCAUUUAUGUGCCUGUUAAAGAAAAACAAAUGUUUAAUCUAUAUACAUUAAAGUCCCCUGGAAAAACUCUGGCUCUCACCUGACAGAGCAAUCACAGAGCACAGUAGCAGGAUUAUGUAAUGACAUCAUGUACUGACAUCAUAAUUCAAACACAAAGGCCAGUAGCAGGAUUAUGUAAUGACAUCAUGUACUGACAUCAUAAUGCAAACACAAAGGCCAGUAGCAGGAUUAUGUAAUGACAUCA